CCAUUUAACAUUAUAAAAGGCCGAUUUCGCUAUGCGCUAUUGAAUUUUCCAGAAACUCAGAGUUCUUCAAGAAUCAUCUCUUCUGUUUUUUUCUUCUUUCUUGCCCUUAUAAUAAUCAGCCAUGGUGAUGAUUGAUGACUAUGAUCAUGGCUCAAUAGAUUUUGUAUUUGUUGUUCACAUCAAAGGAGAAUAUGAGCAGCAGAAACAGUCGUACCAUCUAUGUUGGGAAUCUUCCUGGUGACAUUCGUCUGAGAGAAGUAGAAGAUCUGUUCUACAAGUAUGGACCCAUUGUUGAUAUUGAUUUGAAGAUUCCACCACGACCACCGGGCUAUGCUUUUGUUGAGUUUGAAGAUGUUCGUGAUGCUGAAGAUGCCAUUUAUGGCCGAGAUGGGUAUAAGUUUGAUGGAUGUCGAUUGCGGGUGGAAUUUGCACAUGGUGGAAGGGGACAUUCUUCUUCUGUGGAUCGUUACAGUCGUAGUGGAAGUAGUCGUGGUGGUGUUCCUCGCCGAACUGACUAUCGGGUUUUGGUUACUGGAUUACCUUCUUCUGCUUCAUGGCAAGACCUGAAGGAUCACAUGCGUCGUGCUGGUGAUGUCUGCUUCUCUGAGGUUUUCCGUGAUCGUGGUGGGAUGGCAGGAAUAGUUGAUUAUACAAACUAUGAUGACAUGAAAUAUGCUAUUAGAAAACUUGAUGAUUCUGAAUUUCGGAAUGCCUUUUCUCGAGCAUAUGUACGGGUGAAGGAAUAUGACUCUAGACACAGCUACUCCAGGAGUCCAUCUCUUGAUUCUAGACGAAGUGAUUAUUCUAGAAGUCCUAGUCGUAGUCCAUACAGGGGAAGAGGCCGGAGUCAGAGCCGAAGCAGAAGUCGAAGCCGUAGCCGUAGCCGUAGUUAUAGCGGCAGGAGCACUAGUCUAUCUCCAAGGCACAAGCACUCUCGUCGAUCACGAUCGGUUUCUGAACAAUCCCUAUCAAGAUAUGGGCUUUUGCGGAAUAGUUGGGACUUCAUGUUAGGGACUUGAGGGAUGUGGUGCUCAAUGUGCUUCUUUCAACUCUUUGGUUGUUGAGGUCUAGGUCAAGGUCACGAUCGAGAUCAAGAUCACGGUCACGAUCACCAGUUUCAUCUCGUCAUCGUGCAAGCAGACCUCGAAGUCGGAGCAGAUCUCGGUCCAAGUCUAGAUCCCUUUCACCGAAUGUGAGAUCCGAUCGAAGCCGAAGCCAAUCUGUUGAUUCCAGGGACCAAUAUUCAGAAUAGGACAUUGCUGUGAGGCUGCUCUCAGAUGGAACAGUAAAAGCGUAGGAGAAAAGUAGGGAAUGGUAUAUUUGGAGGGUUCACUUUUAAUGUAAAAUGUGUUAUGGAUGACCUUUAUUAACCCAAGCCAUGUUGCUGCAUUGUAUGUCGACACAUGCUUCGGUUAUUUCACUUUUAACGUUCUCUGUUCUUCCACCUUCGAGUAUAUUUCGUUACUAUUACAUAUUCUCUGAUGACUAGUUUUUGUUUCAUGUAUUUUUCUUUAAAGCAGUUAUCAAGUCUUACAUUAUCAAAUAUAAAAUAGUCUCAUUGCCAAUGAUAAAUUAAUAGCA